UGGGGAAUUUUGCACAAUGGGGGGAACCUUGAUGCAGCGACGCCGCGUGAGGGAUGGAGGCCUUCGGGUUGUGAACCUCUUUCGCUCGUGUGCAAGCCGCUAUUUGGGUAGUGGUGAGUGUAGCGGGUAAAGAAGCGCCGGCUAACUACGUGCCAGCAGCCGCGGUAAUACGUAGGGCGCGAGCGUUGUCCGGAUUUAUUGGGCGUAAAGGGCUUGUAGGCGGUUUGUCGCGCCUGUCGUGUAAUCCUCUGGCUUAACUGGGGGUGUGCGGUGGGUACGGGCAAGCUUGAGUGCGGUAGGGGAGAUUGGAAUUCCGGGUGUAGCGGUGGAAUGCGCAGAUAUCAGGAGGAACACCGGUGGCGAAGGCGGGUCUCUGGGCCGUUACUGACGCUGAGGAGCGAAAGCGUGGGGAGCGAACAGG
rnacentral:rRNA from 1 species